GGAGCCAUGGGUGCCUCCAUGUGUACUCCUUGGUUAGUUGUUUGUUUAGUCCCUGGGAGCUCUGGGGCCUGGGGGGGGGCUGGUUGGUUGAUACUAUUGUUCUUCCUGUGGGGUUGCAAAACCUUUCAGCUCCUUCAGUCCUUUCUCUAACUCCUCCAUUGGGGACCCUGUGUUCAGUCCAAUGGUUGGCUGCAAGCAUCUACCUCUCUAUUUGCCAGGCACUGGCAUAGCCUCUUAGGAGUCAGCUAUAGCAGGCUCCUGUCAGCAUGAACAUCUUGGCAUCUAUAAUAGUGUCUGGGUUUGGUAACUGUAUAUGGGAUGGAUUCCCAGGUGGGGCAGUCUCUGGAUGGCCUUUCCUUCAAUCUCUGCUCCACACUUUGUCUCCAUAUUUGCUCCUUUUCUGAAAAGCAAUACCAGAAGUAAAAUGAAGUGCCAUGUUGGGGAGGGACCUGCUCCACACCAAGAGGUGUUUGAUGAUACUGACCAAGGAGGAAAGCCGUACUGAAAACCUUAUACGGAGCUGUAGUGGUAAGGUCAGAGCCCUAGAAUGUCAGACCUGCUCUCAGCUUGCUGAAACUCUGGCUCCUCUGACGUCAUCAUCGUGCAGCCUCUCUGCUUUCACCAGUUUUAUGAGAGCAAUGGAGUGGUUGCCAUUUAUGCCUUCUGUACAGAUUGAUCAGCACUGACAGACAGCAGAUCUAUUGAGGCAAAGGCCUACUCCUCACACUGACUUCACAUCAUCUGCAGUGCCCGAGGAGCUACAAAACCUUAUCCACCCAAUCCUUGGCACUCAGAAAGAGCCGGGCCUAAUUAACAUAAAUAAAUGGAAAAUCCAACUGAUAAGCUGGGGAGUUUACUUACUUUAUUAUGACAAUUAUUUGUUUGUUGUUACGCUUGUGUGUGUGUCUGUGUGAGCGCAUGUGUGUGUGUUUGUACUAUGAGUGCAUGUGGUUGUACUUGCAGGUGCCAGGGUGUGUGUGUAGGUCAGAGAAUAAUUCAAUUAGUCAAACAAUUGAUCAGUUAAUCGAUGUAAUAAACUUUAUUUGUUUUUCUUAUUAAACAAAAGGCACAGUUUACUCAUUCCCAAUAUCUCAUCAUUACAUGAAAGAGCCUUUAUCUUUUACAUGAUAGUGUAAGACUCAUUUGCU
rnacentral:lncRNA from 1 species